CAGUCUGGGAAGGUAGUUAGCUAACAGUCUGGGAAGGUAGUUAGCUAACAGUCUGGGCAGGUAGUUAGCUAACAGUCUGGGCAGGUAGUUAGCUAACAGUCUGGGAAGGUAGUUAGCUAACAGUCUGGGAAGGUAGUUAGCUAACAGUCUGGGAAGGUAGUUAGCUAACAGUCUGGGAAGGUAGUUAGCUAACAGUCUGGGAAAGUAGUUAGCUAACAGUCUGGGCAGGUAGUUAGCUAACAGUCUGGGCAGGUAGUUAGCUAACAGUCUGGGCAGGUAGUUAGCUAACAGUCUGGGCAGGUAGUUAGCUAACAGUCUGGGCAGGUAGUUAGCUAACAGUCUGGGAAGGUAGUUAGCUAACAGUCUGGGAAGGUAGUUAGCUAACAGUCUGGGAAGGUAGUUAGCUAACAGUCUGGGAAGGUAGUUAGCUAACAGUCUGGGAAGGUAGUUAGCUAACAGUCUGGGAAGGUAGUUAGCUAACAGUCUGGGAAGGUAGUUAGCUAACAGUCUGGGAAGGUAGUUAGCUAACAGUCUGGGAAGGUAGUUAGCUAACAGUCUGGGAAGGUAGUUAGCUAACAGUCUGGGAAGGUAGUUAGCUAACAGUCUGGGAAGGUAGUUAGCUAACAGUCUGGGAAGGUAGUUAGCUAACAGUCUGGGCAGGUAGUUAGCUAACAGUCUGGGAAGGUAGUUAGCUAACAGUCUGGGAAAGUAGUUAGCUAACAGUCUGGGCAGGUAGUUAGCUAACAGUCUGGGCAGGUAGUUAGCUAACAGUCUGGGCAGGUAGUUAGCUAACAGUCUGGGCAGGUAGUUAGCUAACAGUCUGGGAAGGUAGUUAGCUAACAGUCUGGGAAGGUAGUUAGCUAACAGUCUGGGAAAGUAGUUAGCUAACAGUCUGGGCAGGUAGUUGGCUAACAGUCUGGGCAGGUAGUUGGCUAACAGUCUGGGCAGGUAGUUGGCUAACAGU